AAUAUGAAGUUUUGGAUGAAGAAGUUCACGGUUGCCAACUUAUGGAUUUGGGUUUCGUUGGAUAUAGCUUCAUUUGGGUUAGAGGGUUGUAAGAGAAAGACUUGAUUGGGCGUUAGGUUCCAUCAGUUGCGAACUUCUUUUGCAGAAGUUGUGGUCUUUCAUUUACCUAGAACUAAAUCAGAUCAUUGUCCAAUUAUUCUCAGCCUUGAAGGGAGUCCCUCUCCUCCCAUUCAUGCUCGACAAUUUAAAUUCCAGGCGGCGUGGUUGACACACAAGGAAUUUACUGGUUUCAUUAAAGAUCAUUGGAAAGAUAGAGCAAUCUUGCAAUGAAAUCUGGCACAUGAUCCGGCUCUGAAUUGGAGCCUCACUAGCAGGGAAAAAAAUAAUAUAAAAGAAAUUGGAAAGGUAAUAAAGAAAGUGACGUGACGUCUACUGAUGCCUGCUUGGACGUGUUCAAGAGCUACUAUUGGCUGUCUUUGUGAUGCUUGCGUAAGCAUGACACCUCAUUGUAGGUAAUGUUUAUCAGUCAUGGGACCCAUGUUUGGCCCACGUGGAUCAAUGUUUUACCACUCCUUACCCAUGUUGCUUUUCAUGCUUUCAAGGUUUUUUGGUUUGCCAUUUGAAUAGGCAAACCUAUAAUUUAUAAUUUUCAGGUAAAUUUUUUUUUUG